rnacentral:rRNA from 1 species
GAUGAACGCUAGCUACAGGCUUAACACAUGCAAGUCGAGGGGAAACGAUAUUGGAAGCUUGCUUCCGAUAGGCGUCGACCGGCGCACGGGUGAGUAACGCGUAUCCAACCUGCCCACCACUUGGGGAUAACCUUGCGAAAGUAAGACUAAUACCCAAUGAUAUCUCUAGAAGACAUCUGAAGGAGAUUAAAGAUUUAUUGGUGAUGGAUGGGGAUGCGUCUGAUUAGCUUGUUGGCGGGGUAACGGCCCACCAAGGCGACGAUCAUUAGGGGUUCUGAGAGGAAGGUCCCCCAAAUUGGAACUGAGAUCCGGUCCAAACUCCUACUGGAGGCAGCAGUGAGGAAUAUUGGUCAAUGGGCGAGAGCCUGAACCAGCCAAGUAGCGUGCAGGAUGACGGCCCUAUGGGUUGUAAACUGCUUUUAUAAGGGAAUAAAGUGAGCCUCGUGAGGCUUUUUGCAUGUACCUUAUGAAUAAGGACCGGCUAAUUCCGUGCCAGCAGCCGCGGUAA